rnacentral:rRNA from 1 species
UACGUAGGGUGCAAGCGUUGUCCGGAAUUAUUGGGCGUAAAGAGCUCGUAGGCGGUUUGUCGCGUCUGCUGUGAAAUCCCGAGGCUCAACCUCGGGCCUGCAGUGGGUACGGGCAGACUAGAGUGCGGUAGGGGAGAUUGGAAUUCCUGGUGUAGCGGUGGAAUGCGCAGAUAUCAGGAGGAACACCGGUGGCGAAGGCGGCUCUCUGGGCCUUACCUGACGCUGAGGAGCGAAAGCGUGGGUAGCGAACAGG